UACAGAGGAUUCGAGCGUUAUCCGGAUUUAUUGGGUUUAAAGGGUGCGUAGGUGGAUUAAUAAGUCAGUGGUGAAAGCCCGGAGCUCAACUCCGGAACUGCCAUUGAUACUGUUAGUCUUGAGUACAGUUGAGGUGGGCGGAAUGUGUCAUGUAGCGGUGAAAUGCUUAGAUAUGACACAGAACACCGAUUGCGAAGGCAGCUCACUAAGCUGUAACUGACACUGAGGCACGAAAGUGUGGGUAGCAAACAGG
rnacentral:rRNA from 1 species